rnacentral:lncRNA from 1 species
AAACAAAUGUCCACACAGUUAGGAAGCCCAAGGGCCCUCUGCCCUUUCCUCUCUGCCUUCCUGGAGCAUGAACCCACACAGGGCACACAGCAGCAAGGCAUCCCCGGGCAGUGCCGUGCCCACUCACCAGCUUCUUCCUGCGGUCAUCGAUCUGGCAGAGGUUCUCCUCAUCUAUCCCCAAACAUGGGCUUCCUUGAGGCACAGUCAUUCAACCAACCAGCCAGCAUUCAUUGAGCACCAUCUAUGUCCUGGGCACUGCUAGGGGAUGGUGAUAACAGGGAGAAGACUCUGUCCCUGCCUUCCAAUUGUGUAGAGGAAGACAUCCCCCUACAUGAUGGGUGAGACAUAGCAGAAGUGAGUAGGGGAUGAGGUGGGGGCUCAGAGGAGGGCAUGGUCAGCCUGUCUGGGAGGGAGUUGCAUGUGUGCAUCUGAGGUAGGGACAGGCAUGCAUCUUACAGGAUGAAUAUCGAGCAGAGUUACAGAGAGGGGGAAACUCCUUGAGGUUUCAGGAAUCACCUAAUCCACUGUGACUCACAAAUUCCUGCCUCUUGGCUUUGCCUGCAGCAUAUCUCCUGGAAGUGUGCUGGGGCAAAACUCAUCCCAGACCACCAUCUCCAUCCUCCCCCAAUACACCCUGGCUCUCCCUGGCUACCCUUGAGCACGGUGCACGUGUGCAUGGGUGCAUGCCUGCAUAUAUAGCUAUCCCCCAUGUAUUUCCCAAAGCCCUACAUAAUGCUUCAGUUUGCUAAGGAAAAAAUGUUAAUUACUGCAAAUGUGUUUAAAACUGUAAAAGUACAUUAAACAAACUCUGUAAAGUGUGAAGGUUCAGGAAAGGGCAUGUGUUGCACGCAGUUCUGACC